UUAGAAUGCCAGUGAAUGUUCUCUGGGAGUCUUUGACAAAUGUUCAUGUCAUCAGGAUGUCAACCGCUCCAGCUGCUUUCCUGGAUUCUUACAGAAUUCCCAGAGCCAGAUAGGGGUACCACCCGGAGUGAAUGGGAUUCCAGGCCCUGAGCAACAGGAGGGCAGGAGCGAGCCCCUGGGAGGAGCUGCUAUCCAGGAGCAGGAAACAUCCUGACCAGGCCCACCUGUGAAUGGCUGCAGGAAAGAAGAAAUUAUCACAUCCUAUCCAGAGUCCGGCAGAAAUCAGGAAAUAUUUGCAACAACUUAUAGUCUUUUAAAGUUUACCUCCUCACCUCCCCCUGUUUAUUCUAUAAAAGAAACCAGCACCCAAACCUGGGUGAGAUGGUUCUUUGGGACACAAGUCCACCAUCUUCUCGGUCUCCCAGCUUUCCAAAUAAAGUCAUU